AGUGAACGCUGGCGGUAGGCCUAACACAUGCAAGUCGAGCGGCAGCACAGUAAGAGCUUGCUCUUACGGGUGGCGAGUGGCGGACGGGUGAGGAAUACAUCGGAAUCUACUUUUUCGUGGGGGAUAACGUAGGGAAACUUACGCUAAUACCGCAUACGACCUACGGGUGAAAGCAGGGGAUCUUCGGACCUUGCGCGAUUGAAUGAGCCGAUGUCGGAUUAGCUAGUUGGCGGGGUAAAGGCCCACCAAGGCGACGAUCCGUAGCUGGUCUGAGAGGAUGAUAGGCCACACUGGAACUGAGACACGGUCCAGACUCCUACGGGAGGCAGCAGUGGGGAAUAUUGGACAAUGGGCGCAAGCCUGAUCCAGCCAUCCCGCGUGGGUGAAGAAGGCCUUCGGGUUGUAAAGCCCUUUUGUUGGGAGAGAAAAGCAGCAGGUUAAUACCCCGCUGUUCUGACGGUACCCAAAGAAUAAGCACCGGCUAACUUCGUG
rnacentral:rRNA from 1 species